rnacentral:rRNA from 1 species
AUUGAACGCUGGCGGCAGGCCUAACACAUGCAAGUCGAACGAGUGGCGGACGGGUGAGUAGUGUCUGGGAAACUGCCUAAUGGAGGGGGAUAAGUACUGGAAACGGUCGCUACUACCGCUAACCAUCAGAUGGGCCCAGAUGGGAUUAGCUUGUUGGUGGGGUAUCGGCUCACCAAGGCGACAAUCCCUAGCUGGUCUGAGAGGAUGACCAGCCACACUGUGACUGAGACACGGUCCAGACUCCUACGGGAGGCAGCAGUGGGGAAUAUUGCACAAUUGGCGCAAGCCUGAUGGAGCCAUGCCGCGUGUAUGAAGAAGGCUUUCGGGUCGUAAAGUACUUUCAGUGGGGAGGCGUUACCCACAGAAGAAGCAACGGCUAACUCCGUGCCAGCAGCCGCGGUAAUUC